rnacentral:rRNA from 1 species
CCUACGGGUGGCAGCAGUGAGGAAUCUUGGUCAAUGGACGCAAGUCUGACCCAGCAAUGCCGCGUGCAGGAAGACGGCUCUAUGAGUUGUAAACUGCUUUUGUACAAGGGUACACCUGAAAACGUGUAUUUUGCUGCCAGUACUGUACGAAUAAGGAUAGGCUAACUCCGUGCCAGCCGCCGCGGUACUACGGAGGAUCCAAGCGUUGUCCGGAUUUAUUGGGUUUAAAGGGUGCGUAGGCGGAUUGAUAAGUUAGAGGUGAAAUGUCCGGGCUUAACUCGGGAACUGCCUCUAAUACUGUUGAUCUAGAGAGUAGAUGCGGUAGGCGGAAUGUAUGGUGUAGCGGUGAAAUGCUUAGAGAUCAGACAGAACACCGAUUGCGAAGGCAGCUUACCAAUCUAUAUCUGACGUUGAGGCACGAAAGCGUGGGGAGCAAACAGGAUUAGAUACCCGAGUAGUC